CCCUUAGAGUUUGAUCCUGGCUCAGAUUGAACGCUGGCGGCAGGCCUAACACAUGCAAGUCGAGCGGUAGAGAGAAGCUUGCUUCUCUUGAGAGCGGCGGACGGGUGAGUAAUGCCUAGGAAUCUGCCUGGUAGUGGGGGAUAACGUUCGGAAACGGACGCUAAUACCGCAUACGUCCUACGGGAGAAAGCAGGGGACCUUCGGGCCUUGCGCUAUCAGAUGAGCCUAGGUCGGAUUAGCUAGUUGGUGAGGUAAUGGCUCACCAAGGCGACGAUCCGUAACUGGUCUGAGAGGAUGAUCAGUCACACUGGAACUGAGACACGGUCCAGACUCCUACGGGAGGCAGCAGUGGGGAAUAUUGGACAAUGGGCGAAAGCCUGAUCCAGCCAUGCCGCGUGUGUGAAGAAGGUCUUCGGAUUGUAAAGCACUUUAAGUUGGGAGGAAGGGUUGUAGAUUAAUACUCUGCAAUUUUGACGUUACCGACAGAAUAAGCACCGGCUAACUCUGUGCCAGCAGCCGCGGUAAUACAGAGGGUGCAAGCGUUAAUCGGAAUUACUGGGCGUAAAGCGCGCGUAGGUGGUUUGUUAAGUUGGAUGUGAAAUCCCCGGGCUCAACCUGGGAACUGCAUUCAAAACUGACUGACUAGAGUAUGGUAGAGGGUGGUGGAAUUUCCUGUGUAGCGGUGAAAUGCGUAGAUAUAGGAAGGAACACCAGUGGCGAAGGCGACCACCUGGACUAAUACUG
rnacentral:rRNA from 1 species